rnacentral:rRNA from 1 species
GACGAACGCUGGCGGCGUGCUUAACACAUGCAAGUCGAACGGAAAGGCCCUGCUUUUGUGGGGUGCUCGAGUGGCGAACGGGUGAGUAACACGUGAGUAACCUGCCCUUGACUUUGGGAUAACUUCAGGAAACUGGGGCUAAUACCGGAUAGGAGCUCCUGCUGCAUGGUGGGGGUUGGAAAGUUUCGGCGGUUGGGGAUGGACUCGCGGCUUAUCAGCUUGUUGGUGGGGUAGUGGCUUACCAAGGCUUUGACGGGUAGCCGGCCUGAGAGGGUGACCGGCCACAUUGGGACUGAGAUACGGCCCAGACUCCUACGGGAGGCAGCAGUGGGGAAUAUUGCACAAUAGGCGGAAGCCUGAUGCAGCAACGCCGCGUGCGGGAUGACGGCCUUCGGGUUGUAAGCCGCUUUCGCCUGUGACGAAGCGUGAGUGACGGUAAUGGGUAAAGAAGCACCGGCUAACUACGUG